CAAAGACAAUUCAGUGAAAUCUAAGACAUAAUAAAUCUUACGGAGCAAAAGAACAUUAGAGCUUGGAGAGAAGGAACAGACACCUUCUGUUUUGGUGACAAAUUCUUUGGAAGCCUUAUUCCCAAUUAUUCUUCUAUUAUCCUCCCGGUCUACAACGCUGAACUGUGGCUGGACGAGUGCUUGGAGUCUGUUUUGCAACAGGACUUUGAAGGCUCCAUGGAGCUCUCGGUUUUUAAUGAUGCUAGUAAGGACAAGUCUAUGACUAUCAUUGAGAAAUGGAAAGUGAAACUGGAAAACUCUGGUGUCCGCGUGGUCAUUGGAGGACAUGAUUCUCCUUCACCCC